CCAAUAGCGUAUAUUAAAGUUGUUGCAGUUAAAAAGCUCGUAGUUGAAUUUCGGAAUCUGUCCGUCGGUCGGGCUUCACUGUCCGCACUGGUGUGAUGGGUUUCUACCUUCUGAAUAACCGGCAUGUCAUUAAUUUGGUGCGCCGGGGAAGCAGAACUAUUACCUUGCAACAAUUAGAGUGCUUAAAGCAGGCUAUCGCCUGAAUAGAUUAGCAUGGAAUAAUAAAAUAGGACGGCAUGGUUCUAUUUUGUUGGUUUCUAGGAUCACCGUAAUGAUUAAUAGGGAUAGUUGGGGGCAUUAGUAUUCAAUUGUCAGAGGUGAAAUUCUUGGAUUUAUUGAAGACUAACUUCUGCGAAAGCAUUUGCCAAGGAUGUUUUCAUUAAUCAAGAACGAAAGUUAGGGGAUCGAAGACGAUCAGAUACCGUCGUAGUCUUAACCAUAAACUAUGCCGACUAGGGAUCGGACGAUGUUAAUUUUUUAAUGACUCGUUCGGCGCCUUACG
rnacentral:rRNA from 1 species